rnacentral:rRNA from 1 species
UGACGGUACCUCCAAAGGAAGCACCGGCUAACUCUGUGCCAGCAGCCGCGGUAAUACAGAGGGUGCUAGCGUUGUUCGGAAUUAUUGGGCGUAAAGCGCGUGUAGGCGGCCUUGCAAGUUGGGUGUGAAAGCCCUCGGCUUAACCGAGGAAGUGCGCCCAAAACUACAAGGCUUGAGUACCGGAGAGGGUGGCGGAAUUCCCGGUGUAGAGGUGAAAUUCGUAGAUAUCGGGAGGAACACCAGUGGCGAAGGCGGCCACCUGGACGGAUACUGACGCUGAGACGCGAAAGCGUGGGUAGCAAACAGGAUUAGAUACCCUGGUAGUCCACGCUGUAAACGAUGAGCGCUAGGUGUUGUGGGUGUUGACCCCCGCAGUGCCGCAGCUAACGCAUUAAGCGCUCCGCCUGGGAAGUACGGCCGCAAGGCUAAAACUCAAAGGAAU